rnacentral:rRNA from 1 species
GACGGAGGUCCCAAGCGCUGUUCGGAAUCACUGGGCUUAAAGCGCGUGUAGGCGGGUUGGUACGUACCUUGUGAAAUCCCUUGGCUCAACCAAGGAACUGCUUGGUAUACGGCCGGUCUUGAGGCAGGUAGGGGCGCCUGGAACCUUAGGUGGAGCGGUGAAAUGCGUAGAUAUCUAAGGGAACGCCGGUGGCGAAAGCGGGGCGCUGGGCCUGUCCUGACGCUAAGACGCGAAAGCGUAGGGAGCAAACGGG